rnacentral:rRNA from 1 species
AGAGUUUGAUCCUGGCUCAGAACGAACGCUGGCGGCAGGCCUAACACAUGCAAGUCGAACGGGAUCUUCGGAUCUAGUGGCGGACGGGUUAGUAACGCGUGGGAACGUACCCUUUUCUACGGAAUAGCCUCGGGAAACUGAGAGUAAUACCGUAUACGCCCUUCGGGGGAAAGAUUUAUCGGAGAAGGAUCGGCCCGCGUAAGAUUAGAUAGUUGGUGGGGUAAUGGCCUACCAAGUCUACGAUCUUUAGCUGGUUUGAGAGGAUGAUCAGCAACACUGGGACUGAGACACGGCCCAGACUCCUACGGGAGGCAGCAGUGGGGAAUCUUAGACAAUGGGGGAAACCCUGAUCUAGCCAUGCCGCGUGAGUGACGAAGGCCUUAGGGUCGUAAAGCUCUUUCGCUGGGGAAGAUAAUGACUGUACCCAGUAAAGAAACCCCGGCUAACUCCGUGCCAGCAGCCGCGGUAAUACGGAGGGGGUUAGCGUUGUUCGGAAUUACUGGGCGUAAAGCGCGCGUAGGCGGACUGGAAAGUUGGGGGUGAAAUCCCGGGGCUCAACCCCGGAACGGCCUCCAAAACUAUCAGUCUAGAGUUCGAGAGAGGUGAGUGGAAUUCCGAGUGUAGAGGUGAAAUUCGUAGAUAUUCGGAGGAACACCAGUGGCGAAGGCGGCUCACUGGCUCGAUACUGACGCUGAGGUGCGAAAGCGUGGGGGAGCAAACAGGAUUAGAUACCCUGGUAGUCCACACCGUAAACGAUGAAUGCCAGUCGUCGGGUAGUAUACUAUUCGGUGACACACCUAACGGAUUAAGCAUUCCGCCUGGGGAGUACGGUCGCAAGAUUAAAACUCAAAGGAAUUGACGG